UCUCUCAUGUCCCUCCACAGCUGACGCCCUGCGCUGCCGGCUCUGCAGCUCCUUGCAGCCAGGGAUGCCCUGCAUGCCCCAAAAAAUGAGCUGCAACUCCCAGCCGCCCAAGGCAGCCUGCCUCUCCGUCACCAUCUCCUACGGCGGCCAGGUGGAGCAGAAGAUGCUGGGCUGCAUCCAGGCGGAUAACAAGAAGUGCGGCCUGACGUGGGAUGACCCGGAGACCGGGCGUCACGCCGAGUACAAGUGCUGCUCCAGCGCCGACCACUGCAACGAAUAGGGGCCCCGGCUCCGGCCUGCGGCGCCCCCAGGGUGGGGGGGCGGUGGUAGUGCAAACUGGGUGCUCGCGCCCCCCAACUGUCGCUUCCAGCCCCCCCAGCAGGGUCAAUACAGCUGAGUCCAGA